UUUACCUGACCACCUUCACCCUCGACACUUUGCAGUUCUCUCCAUUCUUCGAUUGUCUGAGCCAGAUCGACUUGGCAUAGUGGAACCUUGACUUCACCGAUCUGAUCGUGUUUGGAGAACCUAUCGAAAUCGAAGAUCGCGAAAACGAGAGUUUUAUUCAUCGCAUCCGCAUAAGCUUCAUCUGGUUCUUCGGCAUUGUCAGUAAGCUCUUCCAUAUCCGGCUGGACCUUAACAAAUCGAAGUGGAUUCCACGAGUGUAGAAUGUGCGUCUAAUAUCUACAUGAAAUCAUGGAACACGAUUACGUACCUUGUCUUUGUACGUGCUGCCCAAUAGUUGAACAGAUUUUAAGUCCACCGCCCCCUUCAAUCCUUUCUUUCCAUCUUUGGAUCGUCUUUUGCGACAACAUCUUCUGAUGCAGCAGAAGCAGAUUCCGAGAACUACUACGCUUACAGCUACUCAAGCAAGAAGGGAGAAAAGAAUUGAAA